UCAGGUUGUUGGGAGAUUUGGUCUUGGUCUCCAUUCUUAACUUUAACAAUGGUCAAACACAUGGUAUUUAAAGAGAUUCGGUGAGUUGGUAAAGAUAGAAGAAUUAGUGUUAAAUACCUAUUAAUUUUCUUUUUCCUGUAGCAUAAUUUUUAUUAUAAGACGUUGAAUUUUGUUCACUAAUACACCAGUGUUGGAGAUUGAGUAAUAAACUAAAGUUUGAUUCAGCAAGUAGUUAUUUUUAGACCCGGUAAAGUUUGUGCCAGCUACCGCGGUUAGACAAACAGGGUCAAGUUAAGAGGCUGUACAGCAAAAAAGGGGGUUAGAGAGCAAAAAAAUUAGGGGAAUUGAGAAAAAUUAUGUUUUUUGUAGAGGUGGAAUUUGUACAAAAUAGGUAAUCUUUUAUUUUCUUUUAUCUUGAUGCCCUGAAACCUUACAUUAAAACCGGGAUUAGAUACCCCGUUAUUUGAGGUGUAAAUUUUGAUUAGAUAUUUAAUUUGCUUGAGUAUUACGAACUUCUUAAUUUUUUUAUUAUUUAAAUUGUUUAAAACUCAAAAGACUUGGCGGUGCCUUAAAUCCUUCCAGGGGAACCUGUCCUGUAAUCGAUAAUCCACGAUUUAUCUUUCCUUUUCUUGAAUAUAUGUUCAGCUUGUAUACCGUCGUCGUCAGAUCACCUCUGAGAGGACAGAAGUUAUCAAUAAAACUGGGUAUUAAUAAUUUAGUUUAGUACUAUUAUUUACAUAUAUUUUUAGACGUCAGAUCAAGGUGCAGCCUAUGAAGAGGAAGAGAUGGGUUACAAUAGUUAGUCACUAUACGUAUUCCUUAUUGUAAAAUAAGGUUGAAGGCGGACUUGGAAGUAAUAUUGUAAAGGAAAUAGAAAGUCUUAAUGAAGAUGGUCCUAAGGCGUGCACACAUCGCCCGUCGCUCUCGUUUAAGGGAAAUGAGAUAAGUCGUAACAUAGUGAGGGUACCGGAAGGUGUUCUUAGUUGAUAGUAA
rnacentral:ncRNA from 1 species